AGAGUUUGAUCCUGGCUCAGGAUGAACGCUAGCGACAGGCUUAACACAUGCAAGUCGAGGGGCAGCGGGGGAGCAGCAAUGCUCCUGCCGGCGACCGGCGCACGGGUGAGUAACACGUAUGGAACCUGCCCGCAGCAGGGGGAUAAGCGGAAGAAAUUCCGUCUAAUACCGCGUAACACCGCGGAGGGGCAUCCCUCGGCGGUUAAAGAUUCAUCGGCUGCGGAUGGCCAUGCGGCGCAUUAGCUAGUCGGCGGGGUAAUGGCCCACCGAGGCGACGAUGCGUAGGGGUUCUGAGAGGAAGGUCCCCCACACUGGUACUGAGACACGGACCAGACUCCUACGGGAGGCAGCAGUGAGGAAUAUUGGUCAAUGGCCGGGAGGCUGAACCAGCCAAGUCGCGUGAGGGAAGACGGCCCUACGGGUUGUAAACCUCUUUUGUCAGGGAGCAAGAGGCGGGUCGGGACCUGCUGUGAGAGUACCUGAAGAAAAAGCAUCGGCUAACUCCGUGCCAGCAGCCGCGGUAAUACGGAGGAUGCGAGCGUUAUCCGGAUUUAUUGGGUUUAAAGGGUGCGCAGGCGGAGGCACAAGUCAGCGGUAAAAUCGCGGGGCUCAACCCCGGCUCCGCCGUUGAAACUGUGUCCCUUGAGUGCGCGAAGGGUAGGCGGAAUGCGUGGUGUAGCGGUGAAAUGUAUAGAUAUCACGCAGAACUCCGAUCGCGAAGGCAGCCUACCGGCGCGCGACUGACGCUCAUGCACGAAAGACGUGGGUAUCGAACAGAGAUUAGAUACCCUGGUAGUCCACGCAGUAAACGAUGA
rnacentral:rRNA from 1 species